AGCCACAGUCAGAUCCUUCUCUGGUGUCAGCUGUGAAUAAUCCAGGUCUACCAGACAGGAAGAAGACGGAUCAGAACAAAGUAGUCUCACUCUACAGGGGUGAGUUCUUCUCAGGUGCAGUUUUUGAAAAACCAUCUGAGCUCCUGAUCAUCAGGACUACAGCUGCUUAAACUCUCUGAAGGUAAACACUGAAGGUUUCUGAAGAUCUGUGCUGCUGUGCCUGAACUGAAACAUGAAAUCAUAGAAAGCUCAUCUUUUCAUUCAUGUGUGAAGAACUCACAACAUUUCAGACUGAAGACUUCAAAUUAGAGAGCAGCUCAGUUACUCUGUCCAACAAUUACUCCAGAGCUGCUGCUCUUAAUGAUUAUUUCUUCUGGUAUCGACAAAAUCCAGGAAAACAACCACAGUUUCUCAUCUCUCACACAUCAACAGGAACACUUUUAGCUCCAGUGUCUGGACUGUCUGCUUCCAUGAGUGAGGAUAAAACUCAAAUGAAUCUGAGGAUCUCCUCUGCUGCAGUGACUGACUCUGCUGUGUACUACUGUGCUCUGCAGCC